AAAGUCGUAACAAGGUUUCCGUAGGUGAACCUGCGGAAGGAUCAUCACUGAGGUCUGAAUGGACACACACACUGUGCACAGUAUUUGAUUAUUGGGGUGUCAUCGUCCCAUCUGAUGGGAUGGGCACCCCGAGACACACACUGCUAAUAUCUCUCGCCUGAAAAACUACACAAAAAUACACAACUUUCAACAGUGGAUCUCUUGGCUCUC
rnacentral:misc_RNA from 1 species